rnacentral:rRNA from 1 species
AUCCGGGUUGCGGACAGUGUCUGGUGGGUAGUUUGACUGGGGCGGUCUCCUCCUAAAGAGUAACGGAGGAGCACGAAGGUUGGCUAAUCCUGGUCGGACAUCAGGAGGUUAGUGCAAUGGCAUAAGCCAGCUUGACUGCGAGCGUGACGGCGCGAGCAGGUGCGAAAGCAGGUCAUAGUGAUCCGGUGGUUCUGAAUGGAAGGGCCAUCGCUCAACGGAUAAAAGGUACUCCGGGGAUAACAGGCUGAUACCGCCCAAGAGUUCAUAUCGACGGCGGUGUUUGGCACCUCGAUGUCGGCUCAUCACAUCCUGGGGCUGAAGUAGGUCCCAAGGGUAUGGCUGUUCGCCAUUUAAAGUGGUACGCGAGCUGGGUUUAGAACGUCGUGAGACAGUUCGGUCCCUAUCUGCCGUGGGCGCUG